AAUUACUGCUUCCACCCCCAGUUCUAGGCAAAGAGCAAGGCCGUUGCGCUCGUCUGCCUCGGAAAGUGGCUCCUCAGUGCCCUCAGACAAGUAAGUGUCAACUGUGCAGCAGACCUCUCAGAUCCAGGCAGCAUGUCCCUGCUCACCACUAGGCCCAUCUCAGCAGUCCAGGUGGACAUCCCCUGGAGCCUCUGUCACUCCCCCUGGUCACGCCAGAGAUUGGAGAAGAUGAAGAUAUCAGAAGGUGUAAUGCUGGCAUUGUUCCAUAGCAACGGGCCUUAGGUACAUGGCAGAAAAAGAGAGAGAAAAAGUUGUUCCCUUCUCAUAGUGUCCCUACCUGGAGUUAGCUGUCAGCCAAAAGCACUUUAAUGUAUCACGUCCUGGUGGCUACACAGGUUACACAAUUGUCAAAACCCAUUGGGCUGCACACUUAAUACCUAUGCAUUUUGUUGUAUGUUCAUUAUCUCAAC
rnacentral:lncRNA from 1 species